rnacentral:misc_RNA from 1 species
AACGGUCUAUACCUGCGGUACCUGCGGAAGGAUCAUUAUUGAAUAAACUUGGUUGGGCUGUUGCUGGCUCCUUGGAGCAUGUGCACGCCUAGCACCAAUUUUUACCACCUGUGCACCUUUGUGGACCUGGAUACCUCUCGAGGAAACUCGGUUGGAGGACUGCUGUGCGAAAGCCAGCUUUCCUUACAUUUCCGGUUCAUGUUUUCACAUACCCCAUACGAAUGUAACAGAAUGUCGUUU